AGUGAACGCUGGCGGUAGGCCUAACACAUGCAAGUCGAACGGCAGCACAGUAAGAGCUUGCUCUUACGGGUGGCGAGUGGCGGACGGGUGAGGAAUACAUCGGAAUCUACUUUUUCGUGGGGGAUAACGUAGGGAAACUUACGCUAAUACCGCAUACGACCUACGGGUGAAAUCAGGGGAUCUUCGGACCUUGCGCGAUUGAAUGAGCCGAUGUCGGAUUAGCUAGUUGGCGGGGUAAAGGCCCACCAAGGCGACGAUCCGUAGCUGGUCUGAGAGGAUGAUCAGCCACACUGGAACUGAGACACGGUCCAGACUCCUACGGGAGGCAGCAGUGGGGAAUAUUGGGCAAUGGGCGCAAGCCUGAUCCAGCCAUACCGCGUGGGUGAAGAAGGCCUUCGGGUUGUAAAGCCCUUUUGUUGGGAAAGAAAAGCAGCAGGUUAAUACCCCGCUGUUCUGACGGUACCCAAAGAAUAAGCACCGGCUAACUUCGUG
rnacentral:rRNA from 1 species